UACUGGCUUUCGAAUAUAUCUGUGUCAUGAGUGUUCCAUGUGGGCCUUAGUUGUGUGAGCUUAUAGCUUUGGCGAGUCUGAUUAGCAACCUCUGGUUAUCAUAUAGUUUUGCAAUUCUUGAUGCAUAUUGUAUUUAUCUCUAUUGGGGUUUCCAUUUGCUGUUGAUGUAAGAAAGAGAAGGCGAGCAGUGAUGGUUAAUUGUUUCCAUGAGCUCUUCUGAUGUGUUUUUCUCUAGUAUAGUUUUUUCGUCAUGGACAUUGUGAUUUUCUGGACCUAAGGUUUGGAUUUUUGACCUUUGAUUAUUGAAGUUAACUAGAGUAGUUCCAUGUUUCUUAGUUAAAAUAGUUUGCAUUCUUUUUCUUCGAACAAGUAUUUGAUUAGGGUUUGCCUUAUAAAUAAAAGAUAAAAGUUUUUUCUUAAUUAUCAUAAUACUUAGUGUUUCAUGUCUUCAAAUGCAUAUCUACUCUUCUAGUUGUGCAAAAAACUCAGAAAACUAUUGAAAAAUUUGCUAAUUGAUGCUCCCCAAUGUACCGUGGAGACUAGUUCACUGCAUCUAUUUCUCUAAUACACAUAAUAACAUAAAAUAGAAUUAGGCCUUUUUAUACUGUAGUUUAUUAUGCUCUUAUACUAGAGUAGCAAACAGAUAUAUUCUUAACCAAAUGCAAACAUAUUCAUUGGAGAUAUGGAACAGUCAUCAUCAUUGCAUCGGUAAAGUUCUUUCCGUUCUUAAUAAUUAAGAUGUUAACGAAUGAUCAACUGUAUACUCUCGAAAUCUGAAUAUUUGAACCUAGAAGUUGCUUGCAUCUGUCAUGUUUAUACAUGUUGCUCCUUUUACUCUCUAUAUAUUAUCUAAUAGACAUGAACCUGGUACAAGUAGUGAAUGAAGUUUGGGAGACAUGAAGUUGGAGGAGGAGAAGGCUCGAGUGACUAAGGCAAACCAUUAUCCUUACACUACAGACUAUCCAGUGAUACCACAGAAACCUGAACCAAAACGGUGCACAGCCUGAGGCUUUCCAAUUGGAGAGUUUGAUACGACAUGAAAUAGAGAUGCAGAGAAUAAUGGAAGAUAAGGAGAGGAUGGAGAGAGAAGCAGCACAAGAAAGAUUGUUUAAAGCACAACCAAUAAUGAUAGAGUAUUUUGGAUCUAUGUCAACAAUUUAUGUAUCGCUUUAAUAUUUUGGUGAAUGUAUUAUUUAAAUAUAAUUGAAUUUGAUAUUGGAAUAUAAUGAGAUUGUGUUGAAUAUAA